rnacentral:rRNA from 1 species
AGUAAUACGUAAGCAACCUGCCUACACGGACUGGGAUAACACCUGGAAACGGGACGCUAAUACCGGAUAGGUAACGAGAGGGCAUCUCUGUUAUAAAGGUUUGAAACACAAGUAGAUGGGCUUACGGUGCAUUAGCUAGUUGGUGAGGUAACGGCCCACCAAGGCGAUGAUGCAUAGCCGGCCUGAGAGGGUGAACGGCCACAUUGGGACUGAGACACGGCCCAGACUCCUACGGGAGGCAGCAGUAGGGAAUUUUCGGCAAUGGGCGCAAGCCUGACCGAGCAACGCCGCGUGAGUGAUGAAGGUUUUCGGAUCGUAAAGCUCUGUUGUAAGGGAAGAAUGGCGCGGAUAGACUCCGCGAUUGACGGUACCUUACCAGAAAGCCACGGCUAACUACGUGCCAGCAGCUGC